UCAAAACUUUUUUUGGAACAAAUUUUUUUCUUUGGCAGUUAGGAAGUGGUGGUGUUAUAGAAGCUGACAAAUUUCCUUUUUGCCUGCAUAAAUGAGGAGCAAAUUAAGCAUGCUGACAAGCAACUCAUGUAUCAAUGCCGCUGUUCUUUUCUUGAGAUUUACAAUGAACAAAUCACUGAUUUGUUGGAUCCAAGCCAAAGAAACCUCCAGAUAAGAGAAGAUGCUGCUUUUGGUUA